UACAGAGGGGGCAAGCGUUGUUCGGAAUUACUGGGCGUAAAGGGCGCGUAGGCGGCCUGUUAAGUCGAACGUGAAAUCCCCGGGCUCAACCCGGGAACUGCGUCCGAUACUGGCAGGCUUGAAUCCGGGAGAGGGAUGCGGAAUUCCAGGUGUAGCGGAUGAAUGCGUAGAAUAUCUGGAGGACACCGGUGGCGAAAGGCGGCGAUCCUGGACCGGUAUUGACGCGUGAGGCGACGGAAAGCCAGG
rnacentral:rRNA from 1 species